GUCCAGAAUGAAGUGUGGAGGUAGGAACGAUUGUAUGAUGAAAAAGAAAGCUCUGUGACUGGUAUAGAAACACAAACAAAUUGGAUCAAAAGCUCAGUUUCAGUUGUGAAUAAGAAGAGCAAUUGAAUUUACUUCGCUUUUAUUGGUAUGAUGGUAUCCUUCUUGUGAAACUUCUUUACCUUGGGACAUUAUGAAUAUUACACAAACAUUGGACAUGAUGUGCAGUUAGUUUGUGAUUGUAGUAGUCCACACUGCAUCCCAGUAUGGAGCAGUAUCCUUUUAUUCGCUGGAAGCAGAAACAAUAAGGAUUGUCCAACAAAAGAGAAGGAAUUGCAGUUAAUUUUGAUGCUACUGAAGUAAUGUAUACUUUUGAUGUCAUCACUUUGCAACAUUAUGGAGUUAAUUUUGAACUUUCGAGGAGGAGGCAACUGGAAAUUAGUUUAGAAAGGACUGAAACAACAGGUUGUCUGCAGUGGUUUUCCUGUUGGAUUUGGCUUGCCCAUUACACUUGGAGACUUUAAAAUACUACUUCCUGCAGUUAAAGAUUAUCGAACAAAUGAGUUCAGUUUGGCUGUACUGAAACGGCCAAUGUCUACAUGGGUGUUUUCUCUUCUGGUCUUGGUUUUGAUUUGCUAUUUGUAUCUUCACCUUGCAACCUAUGCAGUUAACUGGAGACUUAUUUGAACAGCAGACUUUCUGCCGUGGUAUUCUGGAUUUGGUUUGCUUUUUACACCUGCAAACAUUGAGAGGUAGCAGUCUACAGUUAAUUAAGAUCGACGCUGGAGAAGACAAAGAUGACCCCGUAGUUGAA